CCUACGGGCGGCAGCAGUGAGGAAUAUUGGUCAAUGGGCGAGAGCCUGAACCAGCCAAGUCGCGUGAAGGAUGACGGCCCUACGGGUUGUAAACUUCUUUUGUCAGGGAGCAAUUGAGUCCACGUGUGGGCUUAUCGAGAGUACCUGAAGAAAAAGCAUCGGCUAACUCCGUGCCAGCAGCCGCGGCAAUACGGGGGAUGCGUGGGUUAUCCGGAUUUAUUGGGUUUAAAGGUUGCGUAGAGGGAAUAUAAAGUCAGCGGUAAAAAUUCGGGGCUAAACCCCGUCGUGCCGUUGAAACUGAUGUGCUUGAGUGGGGGAGAGGUAUGCGGAAUGCGUGGUGUAGCGGUGAAAUGCAUAGAUAUCACGCAGAACUCCGAUUGCGAAGGCAGCAUACCGGCGCCCAACUGACGCUGAGGCACGAAAGCGUGGGUAGCGAACAGGAUUAGAUACCCGGGUAGUC
rnacentral:rRNA from 1 species